rnacentral:rRNA from 1 species
AUGGAUUGUGCUUACAUUUUCAGAUUUGCCCUCUGGCAGCAUGAGGACGAGAGAUGGAGUUGCCGCUGGUGGUGUGAGAUAGACAAUGCCUUUUGGUGCUACUUUUCUAAAGAACAUUCAGGUCUGUCUUCACGCUGCCAUUGCUGUUGCGCCCAUAAUGCAAGCAUAGCUACCAUCAUAAUUUUGGUCUACAAACACCACAACUCAGCAAACGAAAAUGUGGGAGGUUUUGGCAACACUGGUCCGCGAAGAGGACGCAAACACCACAGCUUGAUGGCAGCGACAAAUAGGAAUAGGGGAUGCAUACACUAA